UCGGGUGGCUGGGCGACCGCUGGCGGGGAUGCAAAUUCCCGCUGGAGGAAAGUCCGGGCUCCACGGGAAUACGGUGCCGGUCAACGACCGGCGGGGGUCAAACCCCAGGGAAAGUGCCACAGAAAGCAAACCGCCUCGGCACGCGCCCGCAAGGGUUCGUCCCGCGGUAAGGGUGAAAGGGUGCGGUAAGAGCGCACCGCUCCCACGGCAACGUGGGAGGCACGGCAAACCCCACCGGGAGCAAGGCCGAAUAGGGGCGGCCGGCGUGAUUCGUCCUUCGGGGCGGAUGGACGCAGGGGCAUUCUCGCCCCGUCGCCCGGGUUGGCCGCGAGAAGCCUGCGGCGACGCAGGCUCCAGAGGAAUGGUCGUCCAGUGCCGCAAGGCAUGGACAGAACCCGGCUUACAGGCCACCCGGCGCC
rnacentral:RNase_P_RNA from 1 species